GGCUUAUAAAUCCAUUGCUUCUCCAACAUUUUUUUCUCACAUUUCACAUUCUCUUCAACAUUCAGAAACCGAAUGAACAUUAUGGCCGAGGAGAAAUUGUUCCAACAGCAAAUGGUUACCGCCAUCAAUGGGUUGGUGAUGCUGAGCACCCUCUUCACCGUGGUGACUAUCAUACUUAUGAGCAGCUUCAUGAUUGCAUCCUCACAACCACCAUCGCCACCAACAACAGCGAAAUGGUACACUAUGUUAUUCAUGGUGUUAUCAUUUUGCUGUUUUGUUUUCACGACGGUAUUGUCUCUUAUCAUAAAGCAAGGAUUGAUCAUGCACAACUACACGAACAAGGUUAGAAGCUGCUCCGUGUUUGGAAUAAGCGCGAUUCUGUGUGCCAGUCUGCUUCAAUGUGGCACCUGCUUUCUCCUCCAAGCUCUAUUCAAUAUACUUUCCAUCAUUAUUGGCAUUAAAUUUUGUUUUGUUGUCCUUCCACUCUUUAUGCUUAUUGCUAUAUGCGUUGGCUUUUAUGCAAUUCAAUUGCGUGUGAUAAUUAUCGAGUGAUAACAUUAAUAGUAGUAUAAAUAAAAUUGAAGCUAUACUUGGAAGCAGACUCUUUAGCUUAACUUGGAAGCAACAAGAAUCUCAGUUAGAAAUGAAGAAGCUAAGAAGGGAUGGAGUGUGAAUUUUAAAGAUUGGUUCUGCUUUCAAUUUUCCAACUUUUAGGAAAUGAAUUAGAAUAAAUUGAGUUUGAAUAGAAAGCUUUCAAUUUAUCUUAUCUUAGUUGCUGUGUGUCUGAUGAGAUUAAAUGUUCAUUUCUCUUGUAAGUCGUUUUACAUUCCUGACAUGAUUGAGUUACAUACAUUGUUCGAUCAACAACCAAUAAGAUGUUUUAUCGUAUGUGGGGGAUGUGUAAUCUAGUAGUCUUCUUUUGCAAGUGUCUUCUAGUUAUUAUGAAUGAGAGUUAUUUGAA